GAGGCUAGGAGAGGGAUAGCAUUAGGAGAACUACCUAACAUAGAUGACAGGUUGAUGGGUGCUGCAAACACCACGGCAUGUGUGUAACUAUGUAACAAACCUGCACAUUCUUCUCAUAUAUCCUAGAACAUGAAGUGUAAUAAAAAAAACAUUGUGUUAAAAUGUGCAUAACAGAAAUUUUAUCAUUUUAACCAUUUUUAAGUAGAUAGUUUUGUGGCUCUUAGUAUAUUCACAUUGUUAUAUUCCCAGUGUACAUGUCCAGAACUGUUUCGUCAUCCCAAACUGACCCUCUAUAAUUAAUUACUCCUCAUAUUCCGCCCCUCCCCAUUCCUGGCAACCAUCAUUAUACUUUCUGUCUCUAUGAGUUUGCAAAGGCCGUUUUUAAUAGAGCGAAAACUUGAUAUCCACUAUUAAUAGGAGCUGUGUAAUAUGGUAGGACAAAUUUGGGACUGGAGCCAAACACUUUAUGUCAUGUUCUAGUUUGUAAUCUGGGCCAAACUGUUUGAUUUCUUUGAGACUCUGUUUCUUCACCUCUAAAAUGGAACUAGCAAUUUACUGUGAUGUUGUGAGAAUUACAUGAGACCAUGUAUGUAAAUCAUCAGGCUCAUAAUAGGCAUUUAAUAAAUGAUAUUAGAAAUAUAGAAUGCUCUCAAAGUAUUCUUAUUUUAUUUUAUUUUUGUUCUUAAAGUAUUAACUCAUUUUUUUCAGUUGUACAAGUUUUUAAUGACUUCUGCAGGAGCCAGUAAGACUACUACAGUGUAAUGAUAGUAUGUCAUUGUGAAUUCAAAUCUACCUAUUUCCCAGGUUGGUCCACAGUAUGUUACAAAUGAUUUUUUUUUUCCUUGGAGAGUAGAAAUCACAAGUUGUUGCAUUUUAUAAAUUGAAGUUUUAAACAAAGUUUUGUGAUAUCUAUAGAAAUAAAUAUUUUUGACUGUUGCCAGUAGAAAGCUAAGAAGCGAUUUAACUCAUGAAUUUUAUUUUUGGCCAGUUUUUAAAUCAUUCUCCAAUUUUCCUAUUAAAAUUAUUGUGUUUGUAAAAAAUCCUUACUCUUGUUCAAUUCACUGUCUGUCACUUCUGUCUUAGAAUAUAUAGAAUAAAUAAAAGGAGAUUUAACUUAAGCUUGCUAAAGUUUUGUUAGCUCUAAUAAAACAGGUCUUCUGUAUUCCAGGAAUCAGAGUAUUUAAAUCACCCAAAUAAUCAAGUUAUGCAAAUUAGUGAAAUUCCUAUAUUGUUAAGUUACAUAUUUUACUAUUUCUGAUGUAUUAAUUGAAAAAUAUUUACUGGACAAAUUCUCUUUUUUUAGAGAUGGGUUCUCCGUUGCCCAGGCUGGAGUGCAGUGACAUGAUCAUGGCUCACUGUGGCCUGGAUCGCCUAAGCUUAAGGGAUCCUCCUAUAGGCACAAUCUAUGACAGAUAGCUUAUUUUUUUAAAGUUUUUUUUUGUUGAGAUGGAAAUCUUGCUGUGUUGCCUGGGCUGGUGUUGAACUCCUAGACUCAAGUGAUCCUCCUGCCUUGGUCUCCCAAAGUGCUGGGAUUAUAGGUGUGAGCCACUGUGCCUGGCUUUACUGAGCAGAUUCUGACCGUCAAGUAUUAAGUGUCAGUUUUUGUGAGAGAUUAAAAAAAAUCUAAAUCAUGAUCUCUUUCCUGAAAGAAUUUAGAGUCUCCUUGGAAAGAGAGGCCACUUGUGCAUUAAAGUUUAAGGUUGCAGUUCAGAAGGUCAGAGUCAUGGGGUUUGCGAGACUAAUGACGAGUUAGGAUGUAGCCAUGUCAUAUUUGAGGUGAAGAUGGGAUAUCCUAGUUUAAAUGAGACUCUGGAUCUCAGGACAAAAGACUGGCAUGCUAUCCAACAUAGACGGUUUUAUAUGCAUUAAUGAAAAAAGCAGAAUGUUGGUACAAUUUGUAAACUUUGCUCCCUAAUUAGUAAGUAUAUUUUAAAUAUUCUACAAAAUAAUCAAGUUUGACAGUAGUUUUCAGUUGCUACCUCUUUCUGUGGUCUCUGGCUGCUUAGCCAUUUUCUUGAAAUCAGUGGCUUCUGAAAGGAAGAAGGACAUCAGGAGUAUGUUAGAAUUGCGCCUCAAAAUCAGCUGAUUUCAGGUCAUAUAUCUUCACUACUUUCAGCAGAGAAGAUAGAUACCAAAAUUCCAGCUUGGUUAAGCUAAGGAUGGGAAUUGAAGGAGGAAGGAUGGAGAGCUGGGAUUGGGCCAGGCCUGUAGAAAGGCAUCUAGUUAUGACUGGCAGGUGACCCACUGAAUCAACUAAGUGAGUGGAUUGGUUUCAGUGCACAAAGUUAGUGUGUAAAAUUGUUAACUAAAAUUAGGUUUCUGGAAAAAUUUUGGGAUUUUAUUAUAAAAGCUAUGUUAAUCCUUAAUUAUCAUAGAAAUCAUUGAUCUGCCUUGAAAAUGGAAGAAGAUAUGCAUCCAAUUAGAAUAUUAUGCAAUUUAGCAUCACCAGGGAAGGGAAACAGCAGCAUUUGUUUGAAAUUAGGGGCUCCUUUUUUCCAAUUACAUUUUUCAAAGUUUGCUAUAAACUGUGAUUAUUUUUCAAAGAGUAGUCAUUCCUAUAUUGAAUUCAGCUGUGUGUUUAAUAAUUUUUACAUUCUAAAAUUUGUAUGGGGUAUAUAAAGUUUCUUUCCUCAGUAGCUGAAAUUGUUAGGUUAAAUUAAAGAUGAAAAUAUCUAGCAUUUGCUCUCGGCUUGAAGGGAGCAGCAUGUUUCUCAGGAAGUUCUUGCCUGGGAGCUCAGUUUGUUUGAGUUCUGUUAUUUCUAGUGAUGCUAGCUAAUCAUCUUUUAGAGUUUCAGUUUCCCUUUGGCUAUGUCAAGAGGUCGAGUAUGAUAAACUGCCUUCUGCUUUCCUCACUUAGAUGGGAGGGCCCGUGUUAUUCUACUUUCGAAGAGCAUUUAGCUUCUCCAAAGAAAAACACUUAACCAACUAGUGAAUCGUAAGAGUUCUAAAUGCUUUUCUUAGUAAUGUCUCACUUUUACUCUGUAGUGGCAGAAAAAUUUAGACAGCUAUUAUUUCCUCAGUUUUAGUGUUGGAGAAGACUAAGGCUGGGAUUUUUCAGGAAAUGAAUGAUGUUUUAACUUGAAAAAUACUGGAUCACAAAGAACAUAACAUGCGUGAACUCAUCUGUGUAACCAGCACCAAGAUCAAGAAAUAAAAUGGUGUCAGCAUCCCAGAAGCUACCCUCACACCUUCUCCCAGUUGCUGCCUCAUCCUAAAGGUGACCACUCUGCUAACUUCUGACCCCAUAGGUUAGUUUGACCCAUUUUUGAGCUUUGUAUAAGUGAGUCAUAUAAUAUGCAUCUUCGUGUUUGGCCUCUUUCCCUCCACAUAAUAUUUGUGAGAUUUACCUGUAUUUUUGUGUGAAGCAAUAGUUUAUUUUUAUGGAUGUUCAGUAUUCCAUUGAGUACAUAUACCAUAUUCUGCAUUUUAAAUGAUUCUUUUACACUUACUGUCACUCUUAAAGUGGAGUUGAGAAACUGAGUAUAAAAUGUCUAAGAUUAUAAGGAUCUUUGUGUUAUUUAACUUAUUUAUCAUUUUCAUUAUUUUAAUCUACUUCAUGGAAAUUGUGGCUAAGGAUUUCUAAUAUAAGCUCUAAAAUUUUAGUAUUAUAUUUUAGCUUUCUGAAUACAGUGAAUCAAUAUAGUAGGCCUUUGGAAAGGUAUUUAAAGUAAAUAUUACCUGAAAAAAGUAGUUUGUUAGAGGAUUAAACUCUCUGCAUUCUGUUCUUAUAACUUCAUAUAUGGCAUUUCUUGAAAUGAUUGAAGGAAUUCUUGGAUUUAAAGGGUCAUCUCGAUUUUCCUAGGAAGUCAUUUAGACAUUAUAAAUGAUGGUUUAUUCAGAAGAAAGAAAAUGAGACAUAGAGAUUUCCUGUCAGUGCAAGGAUAUUGGAGGACAGACUUCAACAUAAUAUUUAUAUAUAUUGGUAUCUUAUCCAGUUCAGCUCAAGGCAGAUAAUAGGUGAGUGUUUUGGUGCUGUGUGUAUAGGUUCUGGUAGAUUAACAAGUUAUUCAGUCUUGUGGCUGUGUUUUCAGAUUUGAAUCAAUUAAUAUUUGUAGAACAUCCUUGAGAUAAAAAAAUCAAGAUGAAGGUGAAAAAAUGACACAAGAGCUCUGAAUUCCCACCUUUGACGGGGCGGCAUACAAUUUAUUCAGGAAAAUGACAAGUCAAAGAUUCUUCAAGUUUGACAAUUAGAUACUAAAACAAAUAUUUUACACACACGUGCUAAGUGUAUGUAAUUGAAGAGGGUUAAGGAGGGAAGAAUACAGAGUAUUUCUUUUAAGUAGACCAGGAAGAAAGGACAUUUGAGUUAGACUUUGGAAGUAGGAGAAGUGAGAUAAUUGGCAUAGAAAUGUUGGUCAUUAAGUGGCGAAAGCCAUCUCCAUGGAAAAAUAAGGCAUAAAGGAGCCUGGUAAGAAAAGAAAAGAUUCACUGGUGUGGAGGGACAGAGAAUGAGGACGUGGUCAGGCUUUUCUUGGGAAUUUGAAUUAGUAUUCCAGGUAAAAGAACGCCAACACAGUGCUUCUCAGUAGUUUUUAAGCCCAUGCCUCCUUUAGAUAAACGUAUAUCUUUACCACUCCAUCCUAAAACUCGGAUUACCUUUCCUCCCCAUAAUAUGUAGGUGAUUAUCUUUUCUACAUUAUCUCCAGCCAAGAUGAUUUCAUUAAGCUUCACUCUCUAUAGUAUAUAUCGUAGAGAAAGGUAUCCCCCCAAAUGUAAAUUAGAUGAGAAUAUUGAGUUAAGUUAAUAACUACAUACAUCCCGGGGACAUUCCAACAUGCCUCUGUAUGUAUGUACUUCUUCAUUUCUCCUCCAUCCUUUGAAAAUCACCAAGGCUAAGUGGGAUAGCCAAAAGAAUAAAUGAGAAAGGUGAGGUUUCCUCCCCAGUGCACUUGAUACUAAUUGAAAUUAGGGUCCACAGACUAGGAAAUUUAGCGAAAUGGGUGUAUUAAAAGAACUAGGGUCUGGUCGGACAGUCUACUCUGAGAGGAGGAGGGGAAUAAAAUAGAAUUUGAAGAAAAAAAUCUGAAAGUACUGUUCUGAACUACGCUAUUAAAAUAGGCUAUAUAUACACUUUCUCCAGGUUUUUUGGACUCUGGAUGGAAAAUGAAGUGUUUUGUUUUAGCCAUUUGAAGGAUUAUGUGUCUGCAUGACAUUUGGUGGAGGUAUUUGAUAACUACAGGAAGUAAAAGAUUAGCUAAUAAGAGAAAACAAUCAGGACUGGAAAAUUAGAUUUGGAGAUGAUUCAUAUAGAGAUCAUUAUAAUUGCGAAGGCAAAUUAUGUUUAGGAGGCUCUGUAUAGAGUAGAGAGCAACUAAUCAAACCCUGGGGGAAUAUUAAUAGUAGUACGAGAGAAGCAAAUAUUAGGUUUCUGUCUGAGUAUUCAGAUGACCAGAAGGCGAAUCACCAGGAAAAUAUAUUUUAAAAGUUAAAAUUAGGAAUCAUUUUGGGGAGGAAUUUAUUUAGAUUUAAAAACACAUUUAUUGAGGACCUACUAUGGUAAGUGCUGGGGUUGUGAGUAUAAAUAGGAUAGAGUCCCCUAAACCUCAAGAAGCUGACAAAUAUGGUAAGGAAUAAAGAACUGAAGACAAUUGGGGUGUAAUGUGAUGGGUGAGUGCCCAGUAAUUUACAAAAUAGUUAUUUUCUAACUUAAUUUGGCUCAGGCAAGAAAAAAUAGUGCAAAUGUUUGGGGUAGGAGGGUGAGAAAGCAAAGAAGUUGCACAAGUAUUGUGAUUUUAUAGUAAAUGUUGGCAAGCUGGAGACAUAUAUGGAUGAUAGAUCCUCAGGGAUGUUUUGUGGGUUUAAUAUAUACAACGGAAAUUCUUUAGAGAAGGAUUUGAAGAGUUGUGCAGCCGUAUUGCUUAUAUGAGACUUGUGGUUUCUUUUCCACGUUUUAUAACUAUGAAGUAGUAGGCUGGGUCCUUGAAUAAAUGUGUGUUCUUUGGUUUGCAUGAAUGGUAUGUACUUUGAAUUCUCAAAAUAGAACUCCAGUUUAUUUUCUCAGUAGUCCCAGUGAGAACAGCUGUAUUUCUUAAAUAUGAUCAGAAAGCACGUGGUGGAGGAGUGUUUACUGUAGAAACCUAUGAUUGUCUGCAGGUACCAGCAUACACAUGUUCCCAUUCCUCAUCCCAAGGGAAUAAUCUCAUUAUUAAACCUGUGCAACCUUCAAGUUAGCUUAUUUUUAAUGUUUGUUUCAUAUUUUAGAAACAACAAGUGAACAUGGAAAAAAGUUUAACAAUAUAAAGGAACAUAUAAUAAAUGGUAAGCCCCAGAUCCUCAGUGCCCCAGAUUCUCAGCACCCCAGAGGCAAAUACUGUUAACCGUUUCUAGUGGGUCUUUCAUAGAAUAUAUGUUUUUAUUUUUAUAGAGAGAAUGGCUUUUAUUUGACCUCUGGAAGGCAUAAAGGUAACUGUAGUUUCCUUGCAAUGCAGUUGGCAAAUUAUUUUUACCUUCUUUUUCCAAGCAGACUCUGAAACAUGAGUUUUGAGGAGCAGGAUUAAAUACUCUAACCUAAGAGACACAGAUAUUUGGAUUUUUAUGUAGACAUGUACUCACUGAAACUGAAAUUUGGAGGAACUGGAAUUAAUAACAUUUUCCCUCAUGUAAUUCAUGGAACUUACUGCUUUGACUCCAAUUAUGCAUUUAUGUUAUAUUCUGAAUAAUGCAAAGGAGAAUGUUCAAACAUUUUAGGCCAUCAGAACACUUUUCCCACUCUCAAGCUGUCUCCCUAUUGUAUUGGUGCUGAAAUGCCAAGCUGCAUGUGACAGUAGAAGAGUUGGCAGUAUCUCUGUUAGAAUAAGCUUUCACAUGCAGCUUCAAACACCUUUGUGGUUUGGGUUGUAUUUUGACAGUUGCUAGGUAGCUUGAGUCAGAGAGUGCAGCUGUGCAAUUUAAGAUGCGUUUUCCUAUCCUAUCCUUUAAAGAGAGCUAAAAAAGUAAAACUGUAAUCAGAUUUCUAAAGUGUUAAAGGGGAUCAAACUACUUAGAACUUAUACAAUAGAAUGAAGUAGAUGAAUUCUGAUAAAGCACAUAGAUACUAAAGUAUACCAGUUAAUGUAUUUCAGAUGAAACUAGGUAGGCUCAUUGUAAACAGAUAAGCUUCUGAAAUUUCUGAACUGUUUCAUUGAAAGGUAAAACAAUGGGUUUGGGAGCACCCAGACUUCUUGGACAGGUGAGUGGUUAGCACUCAUUAACCACCAAAUUCUGACACAGACAUGCUGUUUAUGAAGAAAAGUCAGGGAAGGAGACUAGGAUUUCUGAUAAGAAAGAGUAGAAGAAAAUGUAGAAAUUCAACUUAGUAAAAUGGGAAUACUUCAGGAUUCGAAAUGGGCUCUUACAAAACGAGAAAUAAAGAUAGCUUUUUCAUAGGCUUCCUAUUCGGAGAGUUUUUCUUGUUGAUUUAUAGAGUGUAAAUGUACUUCUUCCUGAAGACAAGGACUAGGCCGAGGUAGGUUUGAUGUAAAUGUGGGGACUCAUUUGUUACGAACCCAUAAUAGACUGCUGUGGGAGAACAUUGUGAACAAAAGAAGGAGUCAAAAAAUAAACAAAAAAAUUUUGUGGCAAGUUAUCUAAGACAGAUCCUGGAGAAGGGCUGAUUGAGAAGGUAAA